AGUUCCAGACAGGAAGUCCAGGACCCCAUUCUACGGCCUGGCAGGUAUAGGAAGUCCAGGACCCCAUUCUACGGCCUGGCGGGUAUAGGCAAACAGUCUAUACUUGGUAAAUGGUAAGUACAGGUGUUAUAUACACAUAUACAUAUAUGGGACAGGAAGACCAGGACCCCAGUCUACGGCCUGGCACGGUUUACUGGGACUAUGUGGUGAUAGGUUUACUCUUGAUGUGGAUUGUCUGUGUUAUGAUGCAUUCCAUCAGAUCAUAUUUUACUGAAUUGUUUUACCGUUCUACUCACUGG
rnacentral:lncRNA from 1 species